GGACUACACGGGUAUCUAAUCCUGUUUGCUCCCCACGCUUUCGCGCCUCAGCGUCAGUUACGAGCCAGAAAGCCGCCUUCGCCACUGGUGUUCUUCCUAAUAUCUACGAAUUUCACCUCUACACUAGGAAUUCCACUUUCCUCUCUCGUACUCAAGUCUUCCAGUCUGAAACGCACCUCCUGGGUUAAGCCCAGGGCUUUCACGCCUCACUUAAAAAACCGCCUACGCGCCCUUUACGCCCAGUCAUUCCGAACAACGCUAGCCCCCUCCGUCUUACCGCGGCUGCUGGCAC
rnacentral:rRNA from 1 species